GGGUAUAUGAUGAAAAACCUAUGACAUGAAGAGAUAUGGUGACAUAAAAAUCAUGAUCAAUAGAAUGUGCUGAGGCCU